GGGAAUCUGCCCUUGGGUUCGGAAUAACAGUGAGAAAUUACUGCUAAUACCGGAUGAUGUCUUCGGACCAAAGAUUUAUCGCCCAAGGAUGAGCCCGCGUAGGAUUAGGUAGUUGGUGGGGUAAUGGCCUACCAAGCCGACGAUCCUUAGCUGGUCUGAGAGGAUGAUCAGCCACACUGGGACUGAGACACGGCCCAGACUCCUACGGGAGGCAGCAGUGGGGAAUAUUGGACAAUGGGCGAAAGCCUGAUCCAGCAAUGCCGCGUGAGUGAUGAAGGCCUUAGGGUUGUAAAGCUCUUUUACCCGGGAUGAUAAUGACAGUACCGGGAGAAUAAGCUCCGGCUAACUCCGUGCCAGCAGCCGCGGUAAUACGGAGGGAGCUAGCGUUGUUCGGAAUUACUGGGCGUAAAGCGCGCGUAGGCGGCUGCUCAAGUCAGAGGUGAAAGCCCGGGGCUCAACCCCGGAACUGCCUUUGAAACUAGGUAGCUAGAAUCUUGGAGAGGUCAGUGGAAUUCCGAGU
rnacentral:rRNA from 1 species